GAGGGGCCUACAUGACAGAAUUCAGUGGCAGUAACCAACCCUCUAUGGCUCAAAUGAGGAAAACGAGUCAUGGAGAAGUUAUUACCAUAAUGAUGGGCUAGUAGCAGAGGCAGGAUUCGAACCCCAGUCUCCUGGCACUAAGAUGUGUGUGAUUUCUAACUGGAAACACUGAUUCUUCAUACCUUCUUAUGAACUUGAUGCUGCACUAUACAUUUAUUCUCAGGAUUAAAAUGAGCCUUAAUAACA